rnacentral:lncRNA from 1 species
UAUCGAUCCUUCCCCCAGCUUUUGAGGGUGGACUCUGACUAUCUGAAGCCAAAAAUCCUAUUCUGUCUCAUCCCUCUGGAAACCAUGAUUUGAUUUAUGAUGGAAGAAACCCAGUCAAAACCAAUACAAUCUCUGGAGAAUUUUUCUAGGGCUUCUGAGAUGAAACAAGUGGCUCUCAACUCUUUGAGAUCCAGUCCUUCCAUGAUCUGUGUGGUGUGAAGAUAUGUAGACUUGCCCAACUUCAUUGCUUACUAAGACAGAAGUCCAUGGAACUGCCAAUGGGAACUCAUCUGAAGCCUGAGGAAGUUGCUGAUUCAAUGGAAGGCAGAGAAGAAAUACAGAAGGGAACUAAGCUGGUCCUUGACGGCACUAGAUCAAACUGUACCUGAAGCCCUGCCCUUGGCCCUUUCAGUGAUGCAAACAUAUGCAUUUCUUCCUUCUUCAGGCCAGUUUGAAUUUAUUUUCUGGUUGCAGUGCAGAAGACUCUUGAGAGUCCCUUGGACUGCAAGGACAUUAAUCCCAUCAAUCCUAAAGGAAGUAAGCCCUGACUAUUCAUUGGAAGGACUGAUGCUGAAGCUCCAGUACUUUGGCCACCUGAUGCAAAGAGCCAAUUCACUGGAAAAGACCCUGAUUCUGGGAAAGAUUGAAGGCAAAAGGAGAAGGGGGUGGCAGAGGAUAAGAUGGUUAGAUAGCAUCACCAACAUAAUGGAUAUGAAUUUGAGCAAACUCUGAUAGAUAGUGAAAGACAGAGGAAUCUGGCAUGCUUCAGUCCAUGGGGUUUCAAAGAGUUGCACAUGACUUAGCAACUAAACAACAACACACUUUACAUGGUCAGUGGGCAGACACGUGGACUCCUCUUUGGAUGUGGAUUCCCAGGGACCACUUGGCGUUCUUGGUACCAGGAAUCGGAACCACCAGUCUGGCUGUCACAGCCAAGUUUGGCCAGCCUGGCUUUAGCUGCUCACCCACUCUGGCUUCCCUGGUGGCUCAGAAGGUAAAGAAUCUGCCUGCAAUGUGGGAGACCCAGGUUCGAUCCCUGGGUCAGGAAGAUCCCUGGAGACGGGAAUGGCUACCCACUCCAGUAUUCUGGCCUGCAGAAUUCCAUGGACAGAGGAGCCUGGCGGGCUGCAAUCCAUGUGUUGCAAAGAGUCAGACAUGA